rnacentral:rRNA from 1 species
CAGUCGCCGCGGGAAUACGUAGGUGGCAAGCGUUGUCCGGAAUUAUUGGGCGUAAAGCGCGCGCAGGUGGUUUAAUAAGUCUGAUGUGAAAGCCCACGGCUCAACCGUGGAGGAUCAUUGGAAACUGUUAAACUUGAGUGCAGGAGAGAAAAGUGGAAUUCCUAGUGUAGCGGUGAAAUGCGUAGAGAUUAGGAGGAACACCAGUGGCGAAGGCGGCUUUUUGGCCUGUAACUGACACUGAGGCGCGAAAGCGUGGGGAGCAAACAGGAUUAGAUACCCCUGUAGUCCCUGUCUCUUAUAC